rnacentral:rRNA from 1 species
UACGUAGGGCGCAAGCGUUGUCCGGAAUUAUUGGGCGUAAAGAGCUCGUAGGCGGUCUGUUAUGUCGGAUGUGAAAGCCCUUGGCUUAACUGAGGAAGUGCAUCCGAAACUGGCAGGCUAGAGUACUAAAGAGGGUCGCGGAAUUCCCGGUGUAGCGGUGAAAUGCGUAGAGAUCGGGAGGAACAUCCGUGGCGAAGGCGGCUCUCUGGACCAGCACUGACGUUGAGGCACGAAAGCGUGGGGAGCAAACAGGG